rnacentral:rRNA from 1 species
AUUGAACGCUGGCGGCCGGCCUAACACAUGCAAGUCGAGCGGAGCGGCGGACGGGGGAGUCAUGCCUAGGAAUCUGCAUGGUCGUGGGGGAUCACGACCGGAAACGGGCGCUAAUACAGCAUACUCUCAGCUGAGCCUAGGUCGGAUUGGCUAUGUGGUGGGGUAAAGGCCUACAAAGGCGACGAUCCGUAACUGGUCUGAGAGGAUGAUCAGUCACACUGGAACUGAGACACGGUCCAGACUCCUACGGGAGGCAGCAGUGGGGAAUAUUGGACAAUGGGCGAAAGCCUGAUCCAGCCAUGCCGCGUGUGUGAAGAAGGGCUUCGGAUUGUAAAGCACUUUAAGUUGGGAGGCGUUACCAACAGAAUAAGCACCGGCUAACUUCGUGCCAGCAGCCGCGGUAAUAC